AGCUCCCCCUCUAGUGUUCACUGCUCAUCAAAUGAUUCCUCCAACAAAUAGAGAGCUGCUCGGUUUUUGGUUCCCCAUAGAAGGACAUAGCUCGGAGCGACAUUUCUAAGUGUUUGAUGGCACAAAGAGGAAAAGGAAACACAAUUCAAAAAUGUUAAGAGAAAAAAGGCUUGAUUCCAUGGUCAUCCAUUUUAAAAUUGAAGAUGGCUCCAGUAUUGCAAAAGACUCUGAAACAUGAAAUUAACACGGUGUCUCCGAGGGACCUGCAUUGUGCCAUGAAUGAACUGACCAUCUCUCAAACUGGCUAAUCGCCACCCCUGAAAACCCAUGUCUGAAGAGAUAUCUUUCCAGAAUCUAUACUUCACAGAAGGAAGUUGACUAAGUACAAGUUGGAAAAAGAAAAAAAAGGAAAAAGCAGCAUAGUGCCCCUCACCUCACUAAAUAUCAAGGUGGAGAAACUAAGGCUUCAAAAAAAGUCAAAAACAAAAAACAAUGAUGGAGUAGCCAGCUCUCUUGGGAGACCUCUGAUUGUGUCUCUGGUCAAAACCAACCUCCCUCAUUUCUGAAAUUCUGGCUUUUCUGUGAAGAUCAGCCUCUUCCUAAGCUGCAUCAACUUCAAAUAUUCUGCUGGCAGUGUCUGCACAAGAGGCUGCUAGGCUUCAGUCUGCCACAGGCCCUGGGAUUCUGCAGGGUCCAGAAUCCUAUGGUGUAUGUCUAUUCAUUUCAAAUAGUUUUCAAAAAUAGAAAAAUGUGAGAGGAUGAAUGCUUAAUAUUAAAUGAAAGGGAUCUUGUGCUACAAAGCACACACUCUGCCUCUGUUGUAUAGAAUCAUAAUUUUGAGGUUGAAAUUUAUAUUCUUAAUGUAAUUUCAAAGUGGAACACAGCUUUUAAAGCGGUGAAACAAUAAAGGUGGCCAUGCAUAGCUUACAGUUAUCGCUGUGCUGAUAACGCCUGCACCGAAGGUGUCAGAGUUCUCCACGCACAGGGUGCUUUUAAAACCAGUCAGGAUACCAAGAGAAGUACUAAAACACUUGAACCAUACUCUGAGAAAAUAAGGAGCGAGCGAGAGAAAUACCUGCGAGUUUUGCAUCAACACUUCUAAUAUUGAGACUUAAAUUCUCAUUCUGUUUCUGCCUGGGUUCUCCAGGCACUCUAUAACGUUAAUUAUAUCUUGCAACUCCAGGAUAUCGUUAAGAAUAUGUGACAUCCUCAUUUAUAUUAUUUUCAGUUUGCAUUUAUUCUUAUAUAUCUUUAGGGCUUGAAUAAUAAAAGGUAAAAAUCAAAAAGUCAAACUACAGUCUUUUUAUGAAUCACAAUGACGAACAUGGAAUAUGUACCUCAUAGUAGCCUGUACCCAUUGAAUAAGAUUUGGUGCUUAUAACCACAGUCACUGAACAGACAGAAGGCGAUUAAUGGAUUCCCAGUUUCAAAAGAAGCAUCUUUAGUUAGAAAAUGCGAAUGAAAAUUGCAGUAACCAGUUCUCCAGCACAAUGUUUUUCUUACAAGUGAUAGGUAGUUUAGGGAGUCAAUCACAUCAACUUUCUCAUUCUUACCUGGAUAAUAUUUUCCCUGCAUUAAUUUCCAAUUUAGCUUAUUAAGUAUAUGACAAAUCUGAAU
ensembl:lncRNA